rnacentral:rRNA from 1 species
CUGGAAUGGUUCCUGACUAAAAUCUAUAUGGCCUCUGGAUUGGACUGCGGCCGAUCAGGCUGUUGGUGAGGUAAUGGCCCACCAAACCUGUAACCGGUACGGGCUCUGAGAGGAGGAGCCCGGAGAUGGGCACUGAGACAAGGGCCCAGGCCCUAUGGGGCGCAGCAGGCGCGAAACCUCUGCAAUAGGCGAAAGCCUGACAGGGUUACUCUGAGUGACAUUCGCUAAGAAAGUCUUUUGGCACCUCUAAAAAGGGUGCAGAAUAAGGGGUGGGCAAGUCUGGUGUCAGCCGCCGCGGUAAUACCAGCACCCCGAGUGGUCGGGACGAUUGUUGGGCCUAAAGCAUCCGUAGCCGGUUCUGCAAGUCCUCCGUUAAAUCCAGCUGCUCAACAGAUGGGCCGCGGAGGAUACUACAGAGCUAGGAGGCAGGAGAGGCAAGCGGUACUCAGUGGGUAGGGGUAAAAUCCGUUGAUCCAUUGAAGACCACCAGUGGCGAAGGCGGCUUGCCAGAAUGCGCUCGACGGUGAGGGAUGAAAGCUGGGGGAGCAAACCGGAUUAGAUACCCGGGUAGUCCCAGCCGUGAACGAUGCAGACUCGGUGAUGGGUUGGCUUCGCGCUAACCCAGUGCCGCAGGGAAGCCGUUAAGUCUGCCGCCUGGGUAGUACGGUCGCAAGACUGAAACUUAAAGGAAUUGGCGGGGGAGCACCACAAGGGGUGAAGCCUGCGGUUCAAUUGGAUUCAACGCCGGG